rnacentral:rRNA from 1 species
AUGCAGUCGAGGGGCAGCGGGGAAAAGCUUGCUUUUCCGCCGGCGACCGGCGCACGGGUGCGCACCGCGUAUGGAACCUACCUUUUACAGGGGAAUAGCCCAGGGAAACUUGGAUUAAUGCCCCGUGGCACCAUUUUCUGGCAUCAGGAUAUGGUUAAAGCCUUCGGGCGGUAGAAGAUGGCCAUGCGUCCCAUUAGCUUGAUGGUAAGGUAACGGCUUACCAUGGCUACGAUGGGUAGGGGCCCUGAGAGGGGGAUCCCCCACACUGGUACUGAGACACGGACCAGACUCCUACGGGAGGCAGCAGUGAGGAAUAUUGGACAAUGGAGGAGACUCUGAUCCAGCCAUGCCGCGUGCAGGAAGAAUGCCCUAUGGGUAGUAAACUGCUUUUAUACGGGAAGAAAAAGGGCUACGUGUAGCCUGUUGACGGUACCGUAAGAAUAAGGACCGGCUAACUCCGUGCCAGCAGCCGCGGUAAUACGGAGGGUCCGAGCGUUAUCCGGAAUUAUUGGGUUUAAAGGGUCCGUAGGCGGGCCGGUAAGUCAGUGGUGAAAGUCUGUAGCUCAACUAUAGAAUUGCCUUUGAUACUGCUGGUCUUGAGUUAUGGUGAAGUUGCCGGAAUAUGUGGUGUAGCGGUGAAAUGCAUAGAUAUCACAUAGAACACCGAUUGCGAAGGCAGGUGACUAACCAUAUACUGACGCUGAUGGACGAAAGCGUGGGGAGCGAACAGGAUUAGAUACCCUGGUAGUCCACGCCGUAAACGAUGGAUACUAGCUGUCCGGGUCCUUGAGGCCUGGGCGGCCAAGCGAAAGUGAUAAGUAUCCCACCUGGGGGAGUACGUUCGCAAGAAUGAAACUCAAAGGAAUUGACGGGGGGCCCGCACAAGCGGUGGAGCAUGUGGUUUAAUUCGAUGAUACGCGAGGAACCUUACCAGGGCUUAAAUGCAUAUUGACAGGGGUAGAGAUACCUUUUCCUUCGGGCAAUUUGCA